CGACCGGCGCACGGGUGAGUAACGCGUAUGUAAUCUACCUGUAACAGAGGGAUAACCCGGAGAAAUCCGGACUAAUACCUCAUAGCACAUAUUAUUCGCAUGAAUUUUAUGUUAAAGAGACUCGGUUACAGAUGAACAUGCGUUCCAUUAGCUAGUUGGCGGGGUUACGGCCCACCAAGGCAACGAUGGAUAGGGGUUCUGAGAGGAAGGUCCCCCACACUGGUACUGAGAUACGGACCAG
rnacentral:rRNA from 1 species